UCUACUAAAAACACAAAAAAUUAGCCGGGCGUGGUGGCGGGUGCCUGUAGUUCCAGCUACUCGGGAGGCUGAGGCAGGAGAAUGGCCUGAACCCGGGAGGCGAAGCUUGCAGUGAGCUGAGAUCGCGCAAUUGCACUCCAGCCUGGGCGAAACAGCGAGACUCCGACUCAAAAAAAAAAGUCCCUCCAUUAAGCACUCAUAUUUUUCUGCUGGGGUUCUGAUGGACCAAGUCUAUCAAAUGAAUGCAUCAUAAUUUGUUUAACCAAUAUCUUGGUGCAUAUGUUGGUUUCCUAUUUUUCAUUAUGUAAACAGUUCUUUGAUGAAUCUAGGUGAUUUUGCACACUUUCUUGUACAUCAUAGGAGACAUUACUAGAAGUGGAGUUAACUGAAUCUGAGAGUAUGUUCUUUUGUAAUUUAGAGAAAAGCAUUCACAUUACUCUCCUCUGAAGCUGUACCAAUUUAUAGUUCCACAAACCGUAACUGAGAGUAAGGAUUGCUCUGGGAGGCUGAGGUGGUAGUGGAUACUAGCCUGGGCCCUAUAGCGAGACACCAUCUAUACAAAAACAUUAAAAAAAGUUCUACUACUAGGGUGUGGGAGAAUGCACCUGUGGUCCCAGCUGCUUGGGAGGCUGAGGCAGGAGAAUCGCUUGAACCUGGGAGGCGGAGGUUGCAGUGAUCCAUGAUCCGGCCAUUGCGCUCCAGCCUGGGUGACGAAAGUGAAAUUCCAUCUCAAAAAAAAAAAAAGUUAGCUGGAUGCUGGAUGUGGUGGCAUGUGCCUAUAGUCAGCCACUCAGAAGGCUGAGGUGGGAGGAUCACUUGAGCCUAGGAGUUCAAGGCUGCAGGGAGCCGUGAUCAUACCACUGCACUCCAGCCUGGGCAACACAGCAGACUCUGUCUCAAUUAAAAAAAAAAAAAGCGCAGAAGAAUAUUGGUUUAUGGAGAGUAUUAUUUUAAGUUUUAGAAAUUUUCUAUGCAAAACAAACAAUGGAAAAUAAGAAAUGCAUUACUCUAUAAUAAAAUAUAGCCUUUUCUCUCCCAUAUAUAUAUAUGAGUGGAUAAAAACAGUCAUAACUUCCUACACAUUUAAUCCUCUAUACUAACUCUCAUACCCACUUACCACUCCCUCAAUGACAAACAUACCAAAAAGAUGCUAAAUAAAUGAAAACAAUACUUUGUAUUCUUAACUAUGUAAAGUAUUGUACUUAACAGGUAUUUUCUUGGCUGACUGGUUCUCCAUACCCAACAAACACAGUGAUGUCAACUCUCACCACUCAUAUUAAACAAUAUAGCCAUUGCUGUAAAGUACAAAAGAGAAAUGCAGUACAAAUUGAAAAGGAGGAAAUAAAACUUUUAUUCAUCGCUGAUAUUAUCAGAUACAUAAAAUCCCAAGGAGACAAAAGCUACUACUAAUGAGAUUAGAAGGAUCCCAGAAACAGACACAGACGUGCACACACACCUCCCCACAGACACAGAUACACACUCACAACACACUCAGAAGUACAUUUUAUUUUAUUUUGAGACAGUCUCGCUGUGUCACCCAGGCUGGAGUGCAGUGGCUCCAUCUCAGCUCACUGCAACCUCCGCCUCCUGGGUUCAAGCGAUUCUCCUGCCUCAGCCUCCCCAGUAGGUGGGAUUACAGAUGUGCACCACCAUGCCCGGCUAAUUUUUUGUAUUUUUAGUAGAGAUGGAGUUUCACCAUGUUGGCCAGGCUGGUUUUGAACUCCUGACCUCAAGUGAUCCACUCGCUUUGGCUUCACAAAGUGCUAGGAUUACAGGUGUGAGCCACCACACCCAGCCAGAAGUAUCUUUUAAACAGGAUUUUUAAAAGUGGGAGUUGACCCUUUCCAAAAUCUGGAGUUGGGAUGGGCAUUAGUGGUUUGGAGAGGAAAGAGCAGGUGUGUUGUGGCUGGGAGGCGAUUCCUUUCAGCACCUUGGGUGAUGUCUGAGGCCAUACCCACUUUCUGUGCUAUUUUUGGGAUUAUGAUGAUUAACCCACACUCCCUUUGUUCCUCCCAUGUAACCUGGAUUCUUGGGCAUUCAACCAAUAUUAAACCCUUCCUCUGAAAAAUUCCUGGAUUGACAAGAGCACACUGGACCCAUUUCCAUUCCCCAUCGUGAUCAAUAGGUAUCAAAAGAAAUGAUAGCUUCUUAGAAUAGAAAUUUGCAGCCACUGGGGAAUGUAGUUCUUAAAUGUGAAUACAGAAGAAUCUCUUAUUACAAAAUUCUGUAUGGCUCUGGAUUUAAGAUUUUGUUAUUUUUUAUUUUUGAGACAUGGUCUCUCUCUGUCACUCAGGCUGGAGUGUGGUGGCAUGAUCUCGGCUCACUGCAGCCUCUGCCUCCCAGGCUGAAGCAAUCCUCCCACCUCAUCCUCCCACCUCAUCCUCCUGAGGAGCUGGGACCAUAGGUGCGCACGACCACACCCAGCUAUCUUUUUGUAUUUUUAUAUUUUGCCAAGUUGCCCAGGCUAGUCUCGAACUUCUGAGCUCAAGCAAUCUACCCACCUUGGCCUCUCAAAGUGUCGGGAUUACAGGUGUGAGCCACUGCAGACAGCCAGGAUUUAAGAUUUUAAGAGAUAUUGAAAGCCUUUUGUUAUAAUACCAUUGAAAACAUAAAAUACUUAAAAUUAACAAAAGUUGUGCAAUAGCAUAACUACAAAUCAUUGAUGAGAGAAAUUAAGUAUCUAAAUGAAGAGAUUUAUCAUGGCCACGAAUUAGAAGACUUAAUAUUGUUAAGAUGUCAGUUCUUCUGAAAUUGAUCAACAGAUUACUUGUAAUCCCAAUAAAAAUUUCAGCAGGCUGUUUUUGUUUUGGUAUAAAUUAGUAACAUGAUUUUAAAAUUCUAAGCUGUGGCUGGGCAAGGUAUCUCACGCCUGUAAUCCCAGCACUUUGGGAGGCUGAGGCGGGCAGUUCACCUUAGGUCAGGAGCUUGAGACCAGCCUGGCCAACAUGGCAAAACCCUGUUUCUACUAAAAGUACAAAAAUUAGCUGGGCAUGGUGUUGGGCACUUGUAAUCCCAGCUACUUGGGAGGCUGAGGCAGGAGAAUCACUUGAACCCGGGAGGCAGAGGUUACAGUGAGCCGAGUUCGUGCCACUGCACUCCAGCCUGGGCGACAGAGCGAGACUCUGUCUCAAAAAAAAAAAAAAAAAAAAAAUUCUAGGACGUAUAUCUUUUACAACUACUAGUCAAAGUAAUUAUAAAAGAGUAACAGGCCGGGCGCGGUGGCUCACGCCUGUAAUCCCAGCACUUUGGGAGGCCGAGGCGGGCGGAUCACGAGGUCAGGAGAUCAAGACCAUCCUGGCUAACAUGGUGAAACCCCGUCUCUACUAAAAAUACAAAAAAUUAGCUGGGUGUGGUGGCGGGCGCCUGUAGUCCCAGCUACUCCGGAGGCUGAGGCAGGAGAAUGGCGUGAACCCGGGAGACGGAGCUUGCAGUGAGCGGAGAUUGUGCCACUGCACUCCAGCCUGGGCGACAGAGCAAGACUCCAUCUCAAAAAAAAAAAAAAAAAAAAAAAAGAGUAACGAAUUCAGAGGGCUCACCUUAUUUUACAAUAAAGUAGUGUAGGCAUAUACUGAUCAAUGAAACAGAAAAGAAGGUCUAGAAACAGACACUUAUAUAAUCAACUGAUUUUUGAUUAAGGUGCCAAAGCUAUUCAAUGGGAGAAAGGAAAGUCUUUUAACGAAAGUGUUGGAAUAACUGAAUUUCCUUAAGGAAAAAAUAUGCUUUUGCUCUUAUUUCACGCUAUAUUUAAAAAUUAACUCAUAAUGACUCAGACUUAAAAGUAAAAGCUAUAACUAUGAAUUCUUCAAAAGAAAGCAUAGGAGAAAAUCUUUGUGAACUUGGGGUAGACAAAGAUUUUUAAAAUGGAAAAAUCGAUCAUAGUUCUUUAUUUGGAAAUUAAAAUAAAAAUGCCAUAAGCAAUGACACAAAAAAUGGCAUACCUAGCAUUACAUUUGGCUUACAUUUAGUGUAAGAUCUACACAGUAAAACCCGCUAAACAUUGCUGUGUCAUGUUGAGGAAUUUUUUCCUUCCUUCCCUUCCUUCCUUCCUCCCUCCCUCUUUCUUUUCUUUUCUCUUUUCUCUUUCUUUCUUUCCUUUCUUUCUUUCUUUUCUUCCUUCCUUUCUUUCUUUUUCUUUCUUUCCUUUCUUUCUUUCCUUCCUUUCUCCAUCUCUUCCUCCUUUCCUCCCUCCCUCCCUUUUAUUUUCCUUCCUUCCUUCCUUCCUUCUCCCUCUCUUUUUUUUUUUUUUUAAGACAGAGUCUCCCUCUGUCAUUUAGGCUGGAGUGCAGUGGCACGAUCACAGCUCACUGCAGCCUUGUCCUCCCAGGCUCAAGCCAUCCUCCCACCUUAGCCUUCCAAGUAGCUGGGACUACAGGUGCACAUCACCAUGCCCAGCCAAUUUUUGUAUUUUUUGUAAAGACAGGGUUUCACCAUUUUGCCAAGGCUGGUCUUGAACUCCUGAGCUCAAGCGGUCCUGCCUGCCUUGGCCUCCCAAAGUGCUGGGAUUACAGGUGUGAGCCACCGCACCUGGCCAAUCUUUUCUUUUUCUUUCAUGAAAGUUGUACUAUUUAUGGAGUACAUGUGAUGUUUUGACACAUAGACAAAAUGUGUAAUAAUCGAAUCAAAGAAAUUCGGAUAUCCAUAACUUCAGGCAUUUAUCAUUUCUCUGUAUUAGGCACAUUCCAAUUCCACUCUCAGUUAUUUUGAAAUAUACUAUAAAUCAUUGUUAACUACAUUCACCCUAUUGUGCUACCAAACACUAGAUCUUAUUCUUUCCAUAUAACUGUAUUUUUGUACCCAUUAACCAUCUCCUUUUUAUCCUCCC
rnacentral:lncRNA from 1 species